rnacentral:rRNA from 1 species
GACGAACGCUGGCGGCGUGCUUAACACAUGCAAGUCGAACGGUAAGGCCCUUCGGGGUACACGAGUGGCGAACGGGUGAGUAACACGUGGGUGAUCUGCCCUGCACUUCGGGAUAAGCCUGGGAAACUGGGUCUAAUACCGGAUAGGACCACUGCCUGCAUGGGUGGUGGUGGAAAGCUUUUGCGGUGUGGGAUGGGCCCGCGGCCUAUCAGCUUGUUGGUGGGGUGAUGGCCUACCAAGGCGACGACGGGUAGCCGGCCUGAGAGGGUGACCGGCCACACUGGGACUGAGAUACGGCCCAGACUCCUAGGGGAGGCAGCAGUGGGGAAUAUUGCACAAUGGGCGCAAGCCUGAUGCAGCGACGCCGCGUGAGGGAUGACGGCCUUCGGGUUGUAAACCUCUUUCAGCACCGACGAAGCGCAAGUGACAGUAGGUGCAGAAGAGGGACCGGCCAACUACGUGCCAGCAGCCGCAGUAA